CAGAGACAGCUGCGGCGUUCAUUUGGGGAAGUGGGGAUGGGACAAGAAACACGGAGGGUCCCACUGAAGCAGGAACAAGUCUGAAUUUCCCAACGGGAAAACGCCUCUUCCAGACGUGGGCCAGAAACACCCACGGGGUCUGGAAGAUCAGGUAUUUCAUCGGGCUGCGUUCUGGAACUCCCCUUCACCCAAAUACCAACCUGCAGACAGAGAAGCCCUGGCGGGGGCCUGGGGAGCCCCGUGUGACUGGCAUCGUACUCAGGACGUCUGUUCUUAAUCAACUUCCGUGUUUCCCUUCUUUGUCUUUACUACGCGAAUGUGUUCAGUUUAAACCGUGAAACAGGCGAAGAUGAGGGAAUCGCAUGCCUUCACGGUAAAGACCCAGCUCGGUGCCAAAGGAACCGCCCCACCAGUUGUGAGUGAUGGAAGUCUGAGCCCUACAGCUGCCUCCUUCCCUCAGCAAGGAAACUGAGGCUCCGAGGGGCGGCAGUGACCGGCUCCAGACCGCACAGUGAGUAACGGGAGGGAUCCGAACCCAGGACUGGGCACUCUGCCGUCUCCACCCGCUGAGCUCUACCAGGUGAGGUGGCCUCCCGACUCAGAUUCUUUCUCUGCUUUCCCUCAAGACCCCACGACUAGCCAGGUCUAUGCUUCCUGAUUCAGCUGCCUUCUUUCUUCCAGGCACCUGAGCCCCUGUCCCCCAUACAUGGGCCUCUCCCGUCCCUGACCCCUGAGCAGAGGC